UCCCCCUUCAUGGGAGAUCAACCCGACAGCAACUGUCUGUUAUGACUUCCAGUCGUUACCAUAUCAGAGGAGCUCAAAGUGAGUUCAUGCUGCGAGGAACCACAUCUGUCUUUUUUUCUGCACAAUUACCCCAAUGGCAAUUAAGAAAGUGUAAAGAACGCAUGGCAGUGCUGGGAAACGUUUUUCUUGUGAAAGCAUGGAGCAAGCAGAGGAAGGUGGAUGUGGAUGUGGACGUGGACGUGGACGUGGACGUGGACGUGGUCUUCGUAUUGUGGGCAGGCAAGAAUGAUGGAGUUUGAUGCCAGCAUUUCUCCAUAUGAAUAUAUCUUCAUUGAUGAGGCUGACUCCAACUUGGCAAAAAGAUGCAGAUGUGGCCGAAACAUUAUUGGACAGCGUGCCACUGUGGAUGUGCCUGGGCAGCGUGGAGGGAAUAUCACUGUGUGCUGCCAUCUGACAUAACAGAGUUGUUUGCCGCAGUCCAUUGCUUGGCGCAUACAAUACAGAGCGGCUGCUAGUCUUUCUUGGUGAAUUGCACAAUCGCCUUGUCCAACCCAAUGCAGCAAUGUCGGCAGGAAGAGAGGUCACAACGUUUGUCAUUAUUUAGGACAAUGUGAGUUUCCAUCAUGCUGUGGUGGAGCAGGAGUGGUUUGCUGCACAUCCCCGCUUCUCUGUAAUGUACCUUCCACCGUAUUCCCCUUUCUGAAUCCUAUCGAGGAGUUUUUCUCCUCCUAGAGGUGGAAAGUGUAUGAUCACAAUCCCCAUGAACAAGCCACACUUCUCCAGGCCAUGGAUGAGGCUUGUAAUGACAUUACGCCAGAAGACUGCCACGCCAGACGAUUCUCUCCACAGUGCAUAGCCAGAGAGAAUAUUCGCUGUGAUGUGGGUGAAAACAUGUGGCUAGAAAGGAA